rnacentral:lncRNA from 1 species
GUGGGCAUUGUAAUGUUGACAGGCUCUUUAGACACAAACUUUAUAUCUAUUUUUGCAUAUGUGGAAUCUUCCAUGGAGAAUUUUCUUAAAACUGGAUGCUGCCUGAAAUCAUCUAAAUUUCAGAUGAAGAUGGUCCAUUUUAGCAUUAUUUCUGUGCAAACUCAUCUCAUCCCCUUGUUGUAUCCCAGAGUUUUGCAGUUUUGAAGGAUGGAAAGUCCAGAAUCAAGAUCCCAGCAUCUACUGAGGGCCCCUGCGCUUGGUCACACCACAGCAGGGGACAUCACACGGAGAGAGAGCAGGCAUGAGAGAG